rnacentral:rRNA from 1 species
UACAGAGACCUCAAGCGUUAUCCGGAAUCAUUGGGCGUAAAGCGUUCCGAUAGGUUGUUUUGAAAGUCUUGGGUAAAAGCCGGAAGCUUAACUUCUGCGUUUGCUUAAGAUACUGCAAAACUAGAGGGGCAAAGAGGUGCUUGGAACGAACGGUGUAGUAGUGAAAUGCGUUGAUAUCGUUCGGAACACCGAAAGCGAAGGCAGAGCACUGGGUGCCACCUGACACUGCUAGGACGAAAGCGUGGGGAGCGAAUGGG